rnacentral:rRNA from 1 species
CAGUCGCCACGGUAACACAGAGGGUGCGAGCGUUAAUCGGAUUUACUGGGCGUAAAGCGUGCGUAGGCGGCUUUUUAAGUCGGAUGUGAAAUCCCUGAGCUUAACUUAGGAAUUGCAUUCGAUACUGGGAAGCUAGAGUAUGGGAGAGGAUGGUAGAAUUCCAGGUGUAGCGGUGAAAUGCGUAGAGAUCUGGAGGAAUACCGAUGGCGAAGGCAGCCAUCUGGCCUAACACUGACGCUGAGGUACGAAAGCAUGGGGAGCAAACAGGAUUAGAUACCCCAGUAGUCCCUGUCUCUUAUAC